rnacentral:rRNA from 1 species
CAGAGGGUGCGAGCGUUAAUCGGAAUUACUGGGCGUAAAGCGUGCGUAGACGGUUACGUAAGUCGGGUGUGAAAGCCCCGGGCUCAACCUGGGAAUUGCAUUCGAGACUGCGUAGCUAGGGUGCGGAAGAGGGAAGCGGAAUUUCCGGUGUAGCGGUGAAAUGCGUAGAUAUCGGAAGGAACAUCAGUGGCGAAAGCGGCUUCCUGGUCCAGCACCGACGUUCAGGCACGAAAGCGUGGGGAGCAAACAGGAUUAGAUACCCUGGUAGUCCACGCCAUAAACGAUGACAACUAGACGUUGAGAGGGUAAGCCUCCCAGUGUCGAAGCUAACGCGAUAAGUUGUCCGCCUGGGGAGUACGGCCGCAAGGUUG